rnacentral:rRNA from 1 species
ACGAACGCUGGCGGCGUGCCUAAUACAUGCAAGUCGAACGGUCUUUCUAUGGAAGCUUGCUUCCACUGAGAAGAUAGUGGCGAACGGGUGAGUGACACGUGGGUAACCUGCCCAUAAGAGGGGGAUAACAUCCGGAAACGGGUGCUAAUACCGCAUAGUUUUCUUGAUCGCAUGAUUGAGAAAGGAAAGACGGCCUUUGUGCUGUCGCUUAUGGAUGGACCCGCGGCGUAUUAGUUAGUUGGUGAGGUAACGGCUCACCAAGACGAUGAUACGUAGCCGACCUGAGAGGGUGAUCGGCCACAUUGGGACUGAGACACGGCCCAAACUCCUACGGGAGGCAGCAGUAGGGAAUCUUCCGCAAUGGACGAAAGUCUGACGGAGCAACGCCGCGUGAGUGAAGAAAGGUUUUCGGAUCGUAAAACUCUGUUGUCAGAGAAGAACAAGUUGGAGAGUAACUGCUCCAGCCUUGACGGUAUCUGACCAGAAAGCCACGGCUAACUACGUGCCAGCCGCGGC